rnacentral:lncRNA from 1 species
CUUUCUGGCCCGCACUCCUGCUUCUGGAUAGGAGGUCCUCGAGUCACAUGGGACGCGUGGGGGAGGCCAGGCCUCGAGACCCCAGAGUGCCAGGUGCUUUGUGAAUAGCUUCAUUUUCUGGGGAGAAAAUCCAAGCCUCAGUCAGAAUCUCAAGUGGCUCCUGCACCCCUGGGUGUGCAGAACCCAGCUUACUUGUAGCUCUCUCUCGGAGGGAUGCAGCAGAGACCACAGGAAAGGUGGUCUCUGUACCGGCCCAGCUCCCCACCUGGGACCCCGGUCUCCACACAAGAAGGAGGCAGUGCAGGACAUGGUCUGGAGUCUCACGUGUCACCGCAGCCAGGGGCAGCACCCAGAACCUGGUCCAACUCCAGAUGCAUCUUCAAGGAGUACAGAGGCAGGUCCCCAGGACGUCCUGCAGGAGAUGCCACAGCGAGAGGCAGCGCUGGAGUGCAUCCAGGCUGCAGGCAGAAAGGCAGCCUGCUCGGGAGUCCCGGACCCCUGCGCUUCCUGCAGGCCCCUCCCCGAGCUGCACACACCUGCCCGCCACCCACCCAGAGGAACCACUCACCUGCCUCUGCCUCCCGAGACAAGGUGCCCUCUCACCAAGCCCCUCACCUGGCAAGGCAAGGAGAGGAAAACCUGCAGCAGACCCAGAGGAGCUGGCCUGGGAGCGGCUCCGGGGCCGAUGGACGGAGCCCUCCGGGAUUGGUAAUUACACUAAUGGUUUUCUGGCUGCUGAUUUUAAAGGCAUUACAGGAGGGCUUUCAGAAUGAUGACUUUUCCUUUGUAGCUGCGAUAGGCACUGUCUUUUCAUGCUUUCUACUAAACACAUAGCUGACCUAAGCACGGAUCUGCAGUGAGUGACCUGGUCGCGGAAGGGUCUGGCGCGUGUCUGCUGUGGGGGAGGGUGGCCUCGGCCUGGCCAGGCUGUGAGCUUUGUCGGGGGAGAUAAGAUUUAUACCCCCAAUGUGAAACUUUAUUUCCUCCUUAAAAAAAUUAUGUCUUUAUACCCGUACAGGUUUGACCUCCGUUACAUAGAGAUGUUUGGCAGAUUUGCUU